GACGAACGCUGGCGGCGUGCUUAACACAUGCAAGUCGAACGGAAAGGCCCUGCUUGCAGGGUACUCGAGUGGCGAACGGGUGAGUAACACGUGGGUGAUCUGCCCUGCACUUCGGGAUAAGCCUGGGAAACUGGGUCUAAUACCGGACAGGAGCCAUUUUUAGUGUGAUGGUUGGAAAGUUUUUUCGGUGUAGGAUGAGCUCGCGGCCUAUCAGCUUGUUGGUGGGGUAAUGGCCUACCAAGGCGGCGACGGGUAGCCGGCCUGGGAGGGUGGACGGCCACAUUGGGACUGAGAGACGGCCCAGACUCCUACGGGAGGCAGCAGUGGGGAAUAUUGCACAAUGGGCGCAAGCCUGAUGCAGCGACGCCGCGUGGGGGAUGACGGCCUUCGGGUUGUAAACUCCUUUCGCUAGGGACGAAGCUUUUUGUGACGGUACCUAGAUAAGAAGCACCGGCUAACUACGUG
rnacentral:rRNA from 1 species